UACAGAGGUGGCAAGCGUUGUUCGGAAUUACUGGGCGUAAAGCGUGCGUAGCCGGUUACAUAAGUCGGGUGUGAAAGCCCCGGGCUCAACCUGGGAAUUGCAUUCGAGACUGCGUAGCUAGGGUGCGGAAGAGGGAAGCGGAAUUUCCGGUGUAGCGGUGAAAUGCGUAGAUAUCGGAAGGAACACCAGUGGCGAAAGCGGCUUCCUGGUCCAGCACCGACGUUCAGGCACGAAAGCGUGGGGAGCAAACAGG
rnacentral:rRNA from 1 species